UACAGAGGGGGCAAGCGUUGUUCGGAAUUACUGGGCGUAAAGGGCGCGUAGGCGGCCUGCUAAGUCGAACGUGAAAUCCCCGGGCUCAACCCGGGAACUGCGUCCGAGACUGGCGGGCUCGAAUUCGGGAGAGGGAUGCGGAAUUCCAGGUGUAGUGGUGAAAUGCGUAGAUAUCUGGAGGAACACCGGUGGCGAAGGCGGCAUCCUGGACCAACACUGACACUGAGGAGCGAAAGCCAGGGGAGCAAACGGG
rnacentral:rRNA from 1 species